rnacentral:rRNA from 1 species
UUACGGUUAAAUCACGCUGAAAACACCGUUUCUCGUUCGAUCACCGAAGUUAAGCAUCGUAGAGCCAGGUCAGUACUUAGAUGGGGGACCGCUUGGAAACACCUGGUACUGUAAG